rnacentral:rRNA from 1 species
AGCGCAUACGGUGGAUGCCUUGGCAGUCAGAGGCGAUGAAAGACGUGGUAGCCUGCGAAAAGCUUCGGGGAGUCGGCAAACAGACUGUGAUCCGGAGAUGUCUGAAUGGGGGAACCCAGCCAUCACAAGAUGGUUAUCUUACACUGAAUACAUAGGUGUAAGAGGCGAACCAGGGGAACUGAAACAUCUAAGUACCCUGAGGAAAAGAAAUCAACCGAGAUUCCCUUAGUAGUGGCGAGCGAACGGGGACCAGCCCUUAAGUUGUAUUGAGAUUAGCGGAACGCUCUGGAAAGUGCGGCCAUAGUGGGUGAUAGCCCUGUACGCGAAAAUCCCUUUGCAAUGAAAUCGAGUAGGACGGGGCACGAGAAACCUUGUCUGAAUAUGGGGGGACCAUCCUCCAAGGCUAAAUACUACUGACUGACCGAUAGUGAACCAGUACCGUGAGGGAAAGGCGAAAAGAACCGCGGAGAGCGGAGUGAAAUAGAUCCUGAAACCGUAUGCGUACAAGCAGUGGGAGCCCACUUUGUUGGGUGACUGCGUACCUUUUGUAUAAUGGGUCAGCGACUUAUUUUCAGUGGCGAGCUUAACCGAAUAGGGGAGGCGUAGCGAAAGCGAGUCUUAAUAGGGCGUCUAGUCGCUGGGAAUAGACCCGAAACCGGGCGAUCUAUCCAUGGGCAGGUUGAAGGUUGGGUAACACUAACUGGAGGACCGAACCGACUACCGUUGAAAAGUUAGCGGAUGACCUGUGGAUCGGAGUGAAAGGCUAAUCAAGCUCGGAGAUAGCUGGUUCUCCUCGAAAGCUAUUUAGGUAGCGCCUCAUGUAUCACUGUAGGGGGUAGAGCACUGUUUCGGCUAGGGGGUCAUCCCGACUUACCAAACCGAUGCAAACUCCGAAUACCUACAAGUGCCGAGCAUGGGAGACACACGGCGGGUGCUAACGUCCGUCGUGAAAAGGGAAACAACCCAGACCGUCAGCUAAGGUCCCAAAGUCAUGGUUAAGUGGGAAACGAUGUGGGAAGGCUUAGACAGCUAGGAGGUUGGCUUAGAAGCAGCCACCCUUUAAAGAAAGCGUAAUAGCUCACUAGUCGAGUCGGCCUGCGCGGAAGAUGUAACGGGGCUCAAACCAUGCACCGAAGCUACGGGUAUCACCUUUGGUGAUGCGGUAGAGGAGCGUUCUGUAAGCCUGUGAAGGUGAGUUGAGAAGCUUGCUGGAGGUAUCAGAAGUGCGAAUGCUGACAUGAGUAACGACAAUGGGUGUGAAAAACACCCACGCCGAAAGACCAAGGUUUCCUGCGCAACGUUAAUCGACGCAGGGUUAGUCGGUCCCUAAGGCGAGGCUGAAAAGCGUAGUCGAUGGAAAACAGGUUAAUAUUCCUGUACUUCUGGUUAUUGCGAUGGAGGGACGGAGAAGGCUAGGCCAGCCUGGCGUUGGUAGUCCAGGUUUAAGGUGGUAGGCUGAGAUCUUAGGUAAAUCCGGGAUCUUAAGGCCGAGAGCUGAUGACGAGUGUUCUUUUAGAACAUGAAGUGGUUGAUGCCAUGCUUCCAAGAAAAGCUUCUAAGCUUCAGGUAACCAGGAACCGUACCCCAAACCGACACAGGUGGUUGGGUAGAGAAUACCAAGGCGCUUGAGAGAACUCGGGUGAAGGAACUAGGCAAAAUGGCACCGUAACUUCGGGAGAAGGUGCGCCGGUGAGGGUGAAGCAUUUACUGCGUAAGCCCACGCCGGUCGAAGAUACCAGGCCGCUGCGACUGUUUAUUAAAAACACAGCACUCUGCAAACACGAAAGUGGACGUAUAGGGUGUGACGCCUGCCCGGUGCCGGAAGGUUAAUUGAUGGGGUUAGCGCAAGCGAAGCUCUUGAUCGAAGCCCCGGUAAACGGCGGCCGUAACUAUAACGGUCCUAAGGUAGCGAAAUUCCUUGUCGGGUAAGUUCCGACCUGCACGAAUGGCGUAACGAUGGCGGCGCUGUCUCCACCCGAGACUCAGUGAAAUUGAAAUCGCUGUGAAGAUGCAGUGUAUCCGCGGCUAGACGGAAAGACCCCGUGAACCUUUACUAUAGCUUUGCACUGGACUUUGAAUUUGCUUGUGUAGGAUAGGUGGGAGGCUUUGAAGCGUGGACGCCAGUCUGCGUGGAGCCAACCUUGAAAUACCACCCUGGCAACUUUGAGGUUCUAACUCAGGUCCGUUAUCCGGAUCGAGGACAGUGUAUGGUGGGUAGUUUGACUGGGGCGGUCUCCUCCUAAAGAGUAACGGAGGAGUACGAAGGUGCGCUCAGACCGGUCGGAAAUCGGUCGUAGAGUAUAAAGGCAAAAGCGCGCUUGACUGCGAGACAGACACGUCGAGCAGGUACGAAAGUAGGUCUUAGUGAUCCGGUGGUUCUGUAUGGAAGGGCCAUCGCUCAACGGAUAAAAGGUACUCCGGGGAUAACAGGCUGAUACCGCCCAAGAGUUCAUAUCGACGGCGGUGUUUGGCACCUCGAUGUCGGCUCAUCACAUCCUGGGGCUGAAGCCGGUCCCAAGGGUAUGGCUGUUCGCCAUUUAAAGUGGUACGCGAGCUGGGUUUAGAACGUCGUGAGACAGUUCGGUCCCUAUCUGCCGUGGACGUUUGAGAUUUGAGAGGGGCUGCUCCUAGUACGAGAGGACCGGAGUGGACGAACCUCUGGUGUUCCGGUUGUCACGCCAGUGGCAUUGCCGGGUAGCUAUGUUCGGAAAAGAUAACCGCUGAAAGCAUCUAAGCGGGAAACUUGCCUCAAGAUGAGAUCUCACUGGAACCUUGA